UUUUUUUUUCAUCACUCUAUCUUAUACUCAAAAAUAAAAUACCAUUGAAUCAAACUUAAAUUAUAUUAUAGAGUUAUUCUAAUUUAGAGUAAAAAAUAAAGUAAACAAUUGAUGGUCUGGAGAAAGUGCAUGUAACUUUUACAAAUAAAGUUCAUAUCUUGUUUUGCAUGUCAAUUAAUAUACAGAUCAUAUACGUCAGUUUGGUAAAGUAAUCAUUUGACUAGUAUUAAAUGAAAUUAUAUACGUUAUCUAUUAUUUUCUAUUUGACUUCAAUUUUGUUUAAAUUUGUAACUUUUUUUUUUUUGAGAAAGGGAUUUUAAUUUUUUUUAACUCUUUAAGAUUAUAUAUGACAAUAUAAGCAAGCAAUUGUUUAAUAACAUAACCGCAUUUUAAAGGUGAUAUAUUAAAAUGUAAUAUAUUUUUCCUCCUUUUGGUCAAAUAUAUUUUACCUCUUUAAGGUGACAAUAUCUGAGUUUUGAUUUCAGUAUAACACUAUAUAUAGGCAAUUUGACCAAUAGAACAAACAUUACAUCUUAACUAAGAUCGUCUAAGAUAAACGAAAGAUGAUUUCUAAGACCAUUUUCGUAUGCAUAUUCGUCUUCUCCUUCUUUGCUCUACAUCAAUGCAACCAAAUGGAUGUUGGAGAAAUAGAGAGCAAGCUCGUUAUUCCAAAAUGUAUCCAUAGAAGAUGUUCAGAUCAAGGCUUUUUCCAAAGAGAUUGUUGGUGCUGUAUGAAAGAUCGAACGCUCCCUUGUUUCAAAGAACAAAUUGAUUGCGAUUCAGAUAGGCGUUGUCCUCCUAUACAAUUAAGACUUUAGAAAAUCAAUGUAAUAUUAUUAUUUUUUCAAAUCUAUAUAAAUGCCAUUGUCCAAACAA